rnacentral:rRNA from 1 species
UACGUAGGGUGCAAGCGUUGUCCGGAAUUAUUGGGCGUAAAGAGCUCGUAGGCGGUCAGUCGCGUCUGCUGUGAAAGUCCGGGGCUCAACUCCGGAUCUGCGGUGGGUACGGGCAGACUAGAGUGAUGUAGGGGAGACUGGAAUUCCUGGUGUAGCGGUGAAAUGCGCAGAUAUCAGGAGGAACACCGAUGGCGAAGGCAGGUCUCUGGGCAUUAACUGACGCUGAGGAGCGAAAGUGUGGGGAGCGAACAGG